CGGCCGAACACCUGGCGCCCUUGCUGCUCCUACUCCUCCUGGCACGGACGGGGCGGGGGUUGGCGUCACCGUCUUUCCUUCAGCCCUGGUGGCGCAGCAGACUAAAGCACUGUUAUUAACAUCAGCUGCCUGCAAUUACUGCAAGUUCAAAUCUCACCAGGCUCAAGGUUGACUCAGCCUUCCAUCCUUUCUAAGCUCAUGGAUCAGAGAUGUGACACAGAGUACACAUACUGUCAUUGUCUGCAGCCCUCCAUUCUGCAUCAUGGAUGGAAAUAAUUUUUCACUCCCAAUCUUUUAUCUUUCCUAUUUCUUGAUGAUUCUCCUUUGAAGGAUAAUAUUUGGUUGGUCCCAGGAGAUAGGCCUUCUCUGCCAUGAGAAUAAAUAUUACUGAAUAUGUUUUG